AAGUACUCAAAUGCCAAACAUCAACUAAAUACUACUCAAAUACAAUCAAUUAAAGUUCAUAAAACUUACCCAAUCAAACCCUAAUUUGUGAACCUGAUGAACAAACAAUAACAUUCCAAACAAAAAAAAAAACUAGAAUAUGAAAUCAAAUAAUGAAAUAAGGAAGGGAUUGAGAAGCAAGUUGAAACCUUUCUAUUUGAAGAAGCUGAAGAAACCUUUCUUCAUGCUUAUACAUCAAAUCCAUACAAAAGUGUCUUCAUAAGGUUUUGUGACUUCUGAAUCCAAAUAUACAAAUAAUAGGGGGAGGUUUGAGCAUUCAAAAUUUGAAUUGAAUUUUGGAAGAGGAGGGAAUUGAUUUGUGUUUUGUUUCAAAGCUGUGAAGAGAGAAGGAUGUUUCACAAAAUAGUGAUAGGUGUUGUUUUUG
rnacentral:lncRNA from 1 species